GCAGCACACCAUUAAAGCCUGGCACUGCGAUAAGUCGGUGUUGAGGUGUCGGAGGUGUGCCAAAGUGACACGGCCGAGUUUUCGCUAACACCAUGAGGACUGCUGUCCCAUGACUGGGGUUUGAUAGUGACUUGAGCCACAAUC
ensembl:snoRNA SNORA62 Small nucleolar RNA SNORA62/SNORA6 family